UACGGAGGGGGCUAGCGUUGUUCGGAAUUACUGGGCGUAGAGCGCACGUAGGCGGCUUUGUGAGUUAGAGGUGAAAGCCCGGGGCUCAACCCCGGAAUUGCCUUUAAGACUGCAUCGCUUGAAUCCGAGAGAGGUGAGUGGAAUUCCGAGUGUAGAGGUGAAAUUCGUAGAUAUUCGGAAGAACACCAGUGGCGAAGGCGGCUCACUGGACCGGUAUUGACGCUGAGGUGCGAAAGCGUGGGGAGCAAACAGG
rnacentral:rRNA from 1 species